rnacentral:rRNA from 1 species
GACGAACGCUGGCGGCGUGCUUAACACAUGCAAGUCGAUCGGAAAGGCCCUGCUUUUGUGGGGUGCUCGAGUGGCGAACGGGUGAGUAACACGUGAGUAACCUGCCCUUGACUUUGGGAUAACUUCAGGAAACUGGGGCUAAUACCGGAUAGGAGCUCCUGCUGCAUGGUGGGGGUUGGAAAGUUUCGGCGGUUGGGGAUGGACUCGCGGCUUAUCAGCUUGUUGGUGGGGUAGUGGCUUACCAAGGCUUUGACGGGUAGCCGGCCUGAGAGGGUGACCGGCCACAUUGGGACUGAGAUACGGCCCAGACUCCUACGGGAGGCAGCAGUGGGGAAUAUUGCACAAUGGGCGGAAGCCUGAUGCAGCAACGCCGCGUGCGGGAUGACGGCCUUCGGGUUGUAAACCGCUUUCGCCUGUGACGAAGCGUGAGUGACGGUAAUGGGUAAAGAAGCACCGGCUAACUACGUG